rnacentral:rRNA from 1 species
AUUGAACGCUGGCGGCAGGCUUAACACAUGCAAGUCGAGCGGAGAUGAGGUGCUUGCACCUUAUCUUAGCGGCGGACGGGUGAGUAAUGCUUAGGAAUCUGCCUAUUAGUGGGGGACAACAUUCCGAAAGGAAUGCUAAUACCGCAUACGUCCUACGGGAGAAAGCAGGGGAUCUUCGGACCUUGCGCUAAUAGAUGAGCCUAAGUCGGAUUAGCUAGUUGGUGGGGUAAAGGCCUGCCAAGGCGACGAUCUGUAGGGGGUCUGAGAGGAUGAUCCGCCACAAUGGGACUGAGACACGGCCCAGACUCCUCCGGGAGACAGCAGUGGGGAAUAUUGGACAAUGGGGGGAACCCUGAUCCAGCCAUGCCGCGUGUGUGAAGAAGGCCUUAUGGUUGUAAAGCACUUUAAGCGAGGAGGAGGCUACUGAGACUAAUACUCUUGGAUAGUGGACGUUACUCGCAGAAUAAGCACCGGCUAACUCUGUGCCAGCAGCCGCAGUAA